UACUUUAAAAGGGGUACUGUCCCUUUAAGUGUGGGCGUGGUCACUCUAAAGGGGCGUGGCCAUUUAAAAAUGGGGCGUGGCCACUUUAAGAAAGGUCAUGUCCCUUUAAAAUAGGGCGGGGCCACUUAAAAUGGGCGUGGCCACUUCAAACAUGGGCGUGGCCACUCUUAAUGUGGGUGGGGUCACUUUAAAUAGGGCGUGGUCACUUUAAGACGAUUGGGGAACUUCAAAUGGGGGGCGUGGCCACUUUAAAACCUCGUGAUUUUCCCAAGGGGGCGUGGCCUCUUUAAAAGUGGGCGUGGCCUCCACCUGUGGCGUUCCCGCCCUUUUCUUCUACCCCCAAAAUCCCGGGAUUUUCCCCCAAAAUCGACUUCCGGGUUUGCCACUUCCGGGUUUGCCACUUCCUGUUUUGGCACUUCCGGGUUUGCCACUUCCGGUUUUGGCACUUCCGGGUUUUCCACUUUCCGUUUUGGCACUUCCUGUGUUGGCACUUCCGGGUUUGCCACUUCCUGGUUUGGCACUUCCUGUAUUGGCACUUCCGGGUUUGGCACUUCCUGUAUUAGCACUUCCUGUAUUGGCAGUUCCUGUAUUGGCACUUCCGGGUUCGCCGCGAGGCCCCGCCCCUCGUGGGCGUGUCCUCGCUUCUGAUUGGCUCCUCCCCCCCAGGCCGUCUUCACCUAUUGGCUGACGUCCAACGGCUUCAGCCUAUUGCAGACGGGGCUGCUGCGAGUCCCCGCCCUCCGGGCCAAGAUGGGCGUGGCCCCGCCAUUGACCACGCCCCCGGCCACGCCCACCGGCCCCGCCCCCCGGGCCAAGGCGGGAAUCCUGCAGCAGCUGAGGAAAGGCCCGCUCCGACAAACCUUCGCCAAAAACCCCCUCCCCCCACCCUCCACCGCGGCCGCGCCCUCAGAAAACGCAAAAAGACCCUGGAAAAACACCUUGGGAUGACGGAGAGGACCGGAAAAAAUAAAAACCGCGCGGAAAAUAAAAAAAAAACGACUUUUUUGGGGGAAAAAACGGCGAAAUUCGGCGGGGUUUGGGGUGGUUUCACCCGUGAGGGUGCCGAGACAAAAUGGCGGCGGCGCUGAGGCGGCCGCGCAUGCGCAAAGAAGAAACCGCGGGGUUUUUGCCGUACAAGAUGGCGGCGUGCAAUUUGCC
rnacentral:lncRNA from 1 species